CACCGCGGUUAUACGAGAGGCCCAAGUUGACACCCUUUCGGCGUAAAGAGUGGUUAAAUUAAAUUAGUACUAAAGCGGACCCCUCCCCCUACUGUUAUACGUUCUUGGGAGUAGUGACCCCGACUACGAAAGUAGCUUUAUUAAAAUUGACCCCACGAAAGCUGUGGCA
rnacentral:rRNA from 1 species